rnacentral:snRNA from 1 species
UAGCUUUGACAGCUGAGACACUAAAAUUAGAACAGAAAUGAUCUUGGCUCUUGUACCAGGUUGACAUGCAAAUUCAUGAGGCAUCCUAUAUUUUU